AACAAAUUAUUUUAUUUAAAAAAUCGUAUUUUUUUAUUAAAAAAAAAAAUAAAUAUUUUCUAUUAUAUGCAAAAUUGGAAAAUCUGUGCUUGAACCCUAAACUCUGACCAACAACAAGUAACGAGAACUUUCGUUAGUCUAAAGCUAGCUAAAAGCGUUAGAAUAUUAUUAUAGAUCUCGAACGAAGUGGACCAGACUGAGUUUACGAAUAAAGGCUACGACUGCGUAAUGAAAUAACUGGAAUACGGCUGUAAAUAUAACUGAAAUACAUGUUUUUAAAAGCAUAGCAAAAGUUGAACUUUCUUAACUCGAAGUUCUCCAUAACUCGAACUUUUGAAUUGGCAAUAGAAGUCAAAUUUCAUACAAAUUACCUUCCGUAACUCGUAGUCUCUCUAACUCGAAACGUUUUUGGGGUAUAUGGUGAUUCGAGUCAAGGAAGUUCAACUGUAAAAGUUUUUAAAGGCAUAUGUAAUGAUAUUAAAUAUUAUUUAUUAAAUUAUAAAUUUUUACCACUUACCAUUUUUCCAUGCGCAUUAAUCGAAAUAAAAUAUAUUUUUUCCAAAUUCAUAAAAAAUAAAAUAC